rnacentral:tRNA from 1 species
GGGCCUGUAGCUCAGUGGUUAGAGCAGUCGGCUCAUAACCGAUUUGUCCCUGGUUCAAGUCCAGGCAGGCCCACCA